UACGGAGGGGGCUAGCGUUGUUCGGAAUUACUGGGCGUAGAGCGCACGUAGGCGGACUUGUAAGUCAGGGGUGAAAUCCCGAGGCUCAACCUCGGAACUGCCUUUGAUACUGCAAGUCUCGAGUCCGGAAGAGGUGAGUGGAACUGCGAGUGUAGAGGUGAAAUUCGUAGAUAUUCGCAAGAACACCAGUGGCGAAGGCGGCUCACUGGCCCGGUACUGACGCUGAGGUGCGAAAGCGUGGGGAGCAAACAGG
rnacentral:rRNA from 1 species